UACGUAGGUGGCAAGCGUUGUCCGGAAUUACUGGGCGUAAAGCGUGCGCAGGCGGUUCUAUAAGACAGAUGUGAAAUCCCCGGGCUCAACCUGGGAACUGCAUUUGUGACUGUAGAGCUGGAGUGCGGCAGAGGGGGAUGGAAUUCCGCGUGUAGCAGUGAAAUGCGUAGAUAUGCGGAGGAACACCGAUGGCGAAGGCAAUCCCCUGGGCCUGCACUGACGCUCAUGCACGAAAGCGUGGGGAGCAAACAGG
rnacentral:rRNA from 1 species